rnacentral:rRNA from 1 species
GACAGAGGGUGCGAACGUUGUUCGGAAUUACUGGGCGUAAAGCGCGUGUAGGCGGCAAUGCAAGUCGGGCGUGAAAUCCCACGGCUCAACCGUGGAAGUGCACUCGAAACUGCAUAGCUAGAGUCCUGGAGAGGAAGGUGGAAUGCUUGGUGUAGAGGUGAAAUUCGUAGAUAUCAAGCGGAACACCGGUGGCGAAGGCGGCCUGCUGGGCAGUUGCUGACACUGAGGCGCGAAAGCGUGGGGAGCAAACAGG